ensembl:lncRNA
AUGGAAGGCAGGAGGAGAAGGGGACAGCAGAGGAUGAAAUGGUUGGCUGGCAUCACAGACUGUAUGGACAUGAGUUUGAGUGAAAUCUGGGAGUUGGUGAGUGACAAGGAGGCCUGCCACGCUACAGCCCAUGGGAUCAUACAGAGUUGGACUAAAUGUCUCUUAAGAAUUCCUUUCACUCUGCAGUUGACUGUCCGCUGUCCCAAGAUGGUGGCAGUGGUGGCACCCGGGAACCUGUUCAAGCUGCUGAGAACAGAAGGGCCGGGCCAAGGUCCAGCAAACGGGAGGCAGUGGCCUCUGCGUGCCCUGCAGCCGGGGUUACACUUUGCGGUGGUGGCGCCAGGGAAUGCUCGUGCUGGGCCCAGCCUUUCUCUCAAUUUAGGAAUGGCAGCGGGCGUGCACCCCUGGUUCCCAGGCCAUGGUGCUGAAGUAGCUCAAAGUGUGUCUGCUGGAGGAUACAGAUGUAGGUAAAUCAAAUAUUGUGUAGUGGUUCAUGGAAGACAGGUUUGAUCCAAACAUCAACCCAACAAUAGGACCAUCUUUUAUGACCAAGACUGUCCAGUACCAAAAUGAGCUACAUAAAUCCUUCAUCUGGGAUACAGUUGGAUGAGAACGAUUUCCUGCCUUAGCGCCAAUGUACUACCAAGGCUCGGCUGCAGCUAUAAUUAUUUAUGACAUCACGAAAGAUUUUCAACAUUAAAGAAGUAGGUAAAAGAGCUUCAGCAGCAUGGCCCACCCAACAUUGUAGCUGUCAUUGCAGGAAAUAAGUGUGAUCUUAUCGAGGUAAGAGAGGUCAUGGAGAGAGAUGCCAAGACUACGCCAACUACAUCCAUGCAGUCCUUUUAUGGACCAGAGCGAAGAACAAGAUAAACAUAAACGGACUCUUUAUAUAAAUUAGUCAAAGAAUUCCAUCCACUGAUGCCAGCCGCCUUCUGGCGGAAAGGGCUUCAAACUCUACAGAGCCUUUGGAGCCUAGGCGGAGCUGCAGCUGACUGGGCCUUGACCCUGGGGCUCCCAGAUGAAGUAGCUGGUCCUGACAGGCCUCGGGAGGGCUGGGACCCCCUCCAGGGGUCACCUGCCAGUCUUGGAUCUUUUUUGGGCAACUGGGAUUCACAGGAAUUAACUGGUUCCAUCUCCUCUUCAGAGACUGCAGCAGUAACAGGUCAGUCUGUGGACUUCCGUCCUGUAAAGGAUCUCUGUGUACCCAGGGAC